CGUAAUUAAAACAUUGCACUUAAACUUGAAAUCUGCAGAGAUGGCCACUGUUAUACAGAAAUAUAGCUUAACAUAUACUAAACAUACAUACAUAACUAAAUGUGACUAGCAUUGUAGAUAUCUAAAGCGUUGAGUUUGACACCAGUCAAAAUAAUUUUUCCUCAUUAUACCAAAUUCACAAAAAUAUUACACCAUAUUAACAACCUAAAUUCAUGCAGAUUUAUAGGUUAUCUUUGGCUUGGGCUCUUGAUUUUGAGUGCUGUGUAUGUCUGUCAGAUUGAGAAUAAAUGGAGGAGGAAGAGAGAGAUGUGGAGGAUGUUCUUCAGUCUGAGGAGAGAGAGGAUGCACAGCCUGAACACAUAAGAGAUGGACUGCAACAUGACAAAAACUCAAAAGCUGAAGAAAAUGCAGAUUUACAAGAGCUUCCACCAGUCAUUCCAGCCUCAGAAACUGUAGCAGCCAAUCAGAAGCCUUCCACAGUCCCGACGCAAACGGACAACUUAAUUAUACUUGACCAAAACGGACAUCCUAUUCAAUAUGAUCGGGUGGUGAUUGUGACAGGGGGGAAUGGACAAUUAUAUGGUGUCCCAUCUGUGUCUAUGGGGGCCGCUCAGAUGUUACUACCUCAUGGUCAGCUGUUGAAUGUUGCAAAGUCAUCAGGUCAUUAUUUAUAUUAUAUUUA
rnacentral:lncRNA from 1 species